AAUGGAAUAACUGGGUCAAAUGGUUCCAUUCCCAGUUUUCUGAGGAAUCUCCAUACUGCUUUCCAGAGUGAUUACACCAAUUUGCAGUCCCACCAGCAAA
rnacentral:pre_miRNA from 1 species